CCUGUGACAUACCUAUAACGUUGCCUCGGCGGGAACAGACGGCCCCGUAACACGGGCCGCCCCCGCCAGAGGACCCCCUAACUCUGUUUCUAUAAUGUUUCUUCUGAGUAAACAAGCAAAUAAAUUAAAACUUUCAACAACGGAUCUCUUGGCUCUGGCAUCGAUGAAGAACGCAGCGAAAUGCGAUAAGUAAUGUGAAUUGCAGAAUUCAGUGAAUCAUCGAAUCUUUGAACGCACAUUGCGCCCGCCAGUAUUCUGGCGGGCAUGCCUGUUCGAGCGUCAUUACAACCCUCAGGCCCCCGGGCCUGGCGUUGGGGAUCGGCGGAAGCCCCCUGCGGGCACAACGCCGUCCCCCAAAUACAGUGGCGGUCCCGCCGCAGCUUCCAUUGCGUAGUAGCUAACACCUCGCAACUGGAGAGCGGCGCGGCCACGCCGUAAAACACCCAACUUCUGAAUGUUGACCUCGAAUCAGGUAGGAAUACCCGCUGAACUUAAGCAUAUCAAUAAGCGGAGGA
rnacentral:rRNA from 1 species